CCCUUAGAUGUUCGGGGCUGCACGCGCGCUACACUGAAGGAAUCAGCGUGCUAAAACCAUUGUCGAAAGGCAUUGGUAAACCCAUUAAAAUCCUACGUGAUUGGGAUCGGGAAUUGCAAUUAUUUCCCUUGAACGAGGAAUUCCCAGUAAGUGUGGGUCAUAAGCUCGCGUUGAUUACGUCCCUGCCCUUUGUACACACCGCCCGUCGCUGCCCGGGACUGAGCCGUUUCGAGAAAAGCGGGGACUGCUGCUGUCGGGGCUUUCGGGCCUUGGCUUCGGUGGAAACCGCUUUAAUCGCAGUGGCUUGAACCGGGCAAAAGUCGUANCA
rnacentral:rRNA from 1 species